rnacentral:rRNA from 1 species
GAUGAACGCUGGCGGCGUGCUUAACACAUGCAAGUCGAACGGUGAACACGGAGCUUGCUCUGUGGGAUCAGUGGCGAACGGGUGAGUAACACGUGAGCAACCUGCCCCUGACUCUGGGAUAAGCGCUGGAAACGGCGUCUAAUACUGGAUAUGUGACGUGACCGCAUGGUCUGCGUUUGGAAAGAUUUUUCGGUUGGGGAUGGGCUCGCGGCCUAUCAGCUUGUUGGUGAGGUAAUGGCUCACCAAGGCGUCGACGGGUAGCCGGCCUGAGAGGGUGACCGGCCACACUGGGACUGAGACACGGCCCAGACUCCUACGGGAGGCAGCAGUGGGGAAUAUUGCACAAUGGGCGCAAGUCUGAUGCAGCAACGCCGCGUGAGGGAUGACGGCCUUCGGGUUGUAAACCUCUUUUAGCAGGGAAGAAGCGAAAGUGACGGUACCUGCAGAAAAAGCGCCGGCUAACUACGU